rnacentral:rRNA from 1 species
UACGUAGGGUGCAAGCGUUGCUCGGAAUUACUGGGCGUAAAGCGCACGUAGGCGGAUUGUUAAGUCGGGGGUGAAAUCCUGGAGCUCAACUCCAGAACUGCCUUCGAUACUGGCGAUCUCGAGUUCGGGAGAGGUGAGUGGAACUGCGAGUGUAGAGGUGAAAUUCGUAGAUAUUCGCAAGAACACCAGUGGCGAAGGCGGCUCACUGGCCCGGUACUGACGCUGAGGUGCGAAAGCGUGGGGAGCAAACAGG